rnacentral:rRNA from 1 species
CCCUUAGAUGUCCUGGGCCGCACGCGCGCUACACUGAUGCAUGCAACGAGUUUAUAACCUUGGCCUGAAAGGUCUGGGUAAUCUUUUGAACGUGCAUCGUGAUAGGGAUAGAUUAUUGCAAUUGUUAAUCUUGAACGAGGAAUUCCUAGUAAACGCGAGUCAUCAGCUCGCAUUGAUUACGUCCCUGCCCUUUGUACACACCGCCCGUCGCACCUACCGAUUGAAUGGUUCGGUGAAGAGCUCGGACUUCGAUAUUUAUUCUUUAUUGAGUUUAUAUUGUGGGAAGUUAUCUAAACCUCAUCAUUUAGAGGAAGGUGAAGUCGUAACA